rnacentral:rRNA from 1 species
UCUAGGGGAGGCAGCAGUGAGGAAUAUUGGUCAAUGGGCGGAAGCCUGAACCAGCCAAGUAGCGUGCAGGAUGACGGCCCUAUGGGUUGUAAACUGCUUUUAUACAGGAAUAAAGUUAGCCACGUGUGGUUAUUUGUAGGUACUGUAUGAAUAAGGACCGGCUAAUUCCGUGCCAGCAGCCGCGGUAAU